rnacentral:rRNA from 1 species
AGCGAACGCUGGCGGCAGGCCUAACACAUGCAAGUCGAACGAACCUUUCGGGGUUAGUGGCGGACGGGUGAGUAACACGUGGGAACGUGCCUUUAGGUUCGGAAUAACUCAGGGAAACUUGUGCUAAUACCGAAUGUGCCCUUCGGGGGAAAGAUUUAUCGCCUUUAGAGCGGCCCGCGUCUGAUUAGCUAGUUGGUUGAGGUAAUGGCUCACCAAGGCGACGAUCAGUAGCUGGUCUGAGAGGCUGAUCAGCCACAUUGGGACUGAGACACGGCACAGACUCCUACGGGAGGCAGCAGUGGGGAAUCUUGCGCAAUGGGCGAAAGCCUGACGCAGCCAUGCCGCGUGAAUGAUGAAGGUCUUAGGAUUGUAAAAUUCUUUCAACGGGGACGAUAAUGACGGUACCCGGAGAAGAAGCCCCGGCUAACUUCGUG